rnacentral:pre_miRNA from 1 species
AGGGGAGUAACUGGGUCAAAUGGUGAUUCCAUUCUAAAUUUUCUGAGUACUCUCCAUACUGCUUUUCAUAGUGGUUGCACCAAUUUGCAGUCCCAGCAGUAAU